GGAAUCCCGAUGGAUAAUAUUGCUCGUCGCUGCGUGGCGAAUCGGAACUCGCCGACGUUGCAACACUACCUGGACGUGCACGAUUUUUGUGCGAGCGCAUCGUCGCCAAACGCAGUGAACUGAACAUCUUUGCCAUUUGCGUGGGGAAAAUGGAAAUUUCUUGAAAAUCGACCAGGUUUUCUCAGUGGUGGUGGUUUAGAUGUGGGGACGUAAUUCACUGACGCCUUGACGAAUCUAAAGUUAGAGUGUAAUGUGGAGCCAAAUUUAAAGGAAAAAUAGGUGUAGGAAGAGACUAAGGAGAGACAGGGCAAAGGGAAGAGAUGAAACAGAGGUUGAUAAACGAAGAGAAAGAUGGUUAGAGGAAGGCGGUUUUAGUGGCGCAAUUAGAACAAGCAUUUAGAGGAGGAAAUUCACUGUCUGUGGCGUUUGGAUUUGUGUAUGAAAAUCCUCUGAACACAUUCUGAUCCAUUGAAGUGAGGAUAUCCUCCGGAACAGCGGUGAGUCGCGGUCGUUCUGCCGUGAAUGCUGUAUCGAAGUAUCUCGUAUCAAGGGUAUGUUCCACGGCUGGUUUAAACGGUGCUUCCAAUUGUCUUCGUUCCAGUUUAUCCCACGCUAGACUCUAAAUAGUGGGAAAAUAUUUUUAAUUAUUAAACAUUUCGAUUUUUCAAGG